CUGAUGACAGGUGCAGCAGUGCUCAAACAGUCUAUACCUGAUUCGUUUGAGAACCAGAUGCCCACUCCCAGGACACCCCAAAACAUCUUAAGAGCUGCCAUCACCAUCACUGCCCUCCUGUGCAUCCAAACAUCAGUCGGACAGGUCAUGCCAAAACCGAAAGAAAAUGUAUAGAUCACACAAGUGAAAUCUCUCAAACAAGAUAAUUUUUGCAUGGCCACGGGACGCGUGGAAGACCUGCUGUCUACAUGUCUGGUGGGAAUCCCCCUGUCACCAAGCAAAUACCCAUAUACAGGUAAGAAACCCACCCCAAUGUACACUUGGGAUGAUUGGAUGAAGAUUCUACCACAUGCACCACAAGAGCCCCAGCAACUAGACCUACUGGGCUCCUCAAAAGCGACUUACUGUGUAAACUUUUUCUGUGAACCACCCAAACAAAAUUGUCCGGAAAUAACUAAGCCACAGAUGAUUGUGAGAAAAGAUGUAUCUCCAAAUUAUAAAAGAUACAAGGUUGUUGAGUGCUGCAAUUAUACUGCUGAAACAUUGUCUAAGUCAUCUCCAUUUCCCAGAGUGCUCCCCAGGGCAGUGUUUCUCAUCUGUAGCGACAGGGAUCUCCUCGAAGAUCAAAGGGGGCCCCUGCAGCCUUGAUCAGCUUACCACCCUUACCCCAACACUACUCCAAUUAAAUAUUGGAAGUGAGAAACUCAACUGACAUGCCAAAAACUAUCAUACUCUCAAUUCAACCAAAAUUGUGAUGACCAAAUUUAUACCAGGGGCAAGAUGAAGAGGGUAGCUGUGUCCAUAUUUUUGCCAUGGGUCACAGCCGCCAAGGCUCUCGGUGAGCUUUCUCACCUGGAGUGCUGGCUCAGGAAGCAGACCAACGCUACGUCCACCACCCUAUCAGACCUCUUGGUGGACAAAGAAACCACCAGACAUGCCACCCUCCAGAACAGAGCGGCAAUCGACUUCCUGCUGCUUGCCCAUGGCCAUGGUUGUGAGGAUUUUGAAGGACUUUGUUGUUUUAACCUUUCUUCAAGAAGCACGUUGAUCCGAGGCAACAUCGAGCAAAUGCAAGACCAAAUGAAGACUCUUCUUACUUAUAAGAAGGCUGUGGACAUGAUGGACAAAAUGCUUAUGCAAUGGGGCAUUCCUGGGUGAGUGGCCCCCAUUCUUAAGUCUAUUCUUAAGAGUUUAUGGUGGGUCUUCCUCAUUGUUGCUAUAGUCUCAACAGUGCUGAAGUGUUUUAAGAAAACCGGAGACAAAACUUUAGGAAAUGUUUAUUUAAUAAAUAGAAAGGGGGAAGAUGUGGGAGACAGUCAUGGGAAUGAUGGGGCUGGAAUGCCCUGGGAGGACAGUGCCGUUUAGUUAGGGUGAGAGGCUGGCACAAAUCCCCAGGAGUCUCUGGUUGUUAAUUUGCUGUUGUCACUCAACUGCUGUUCAUCCCCCUGUUCUAGAGAGUUCUGUGCCCCCUCUUCCCCCACUGGCUCUCCCUGGGAGACCACCCCCUCUCUGCUCCCCCAUUGGUGGACCCCCAGUCACCCCAUUUCAACUCCUCCCCUGACUCCCUUCCCCACUGCAUGAUUUGUACCCUGACCCCUCCUACCUUCCCCCAGUGAUAUACCCUGGCCCAUCCCCUGCUGCUCGCUCUUGGCCCCUGAUUCCCUUCAGCAGAGCUUGUGCUCCUGUUUGUUCUCCUCACCCUCACCCCACCUGGACCCCUGGAUCUUCCCUAGACAAACCCUGCUGGAUCUGCCGAGCCAAGAGUGCCCUCGUCUGUCUGAUUGAGAUCGUGACAUAACUUAUAUGAGAAAGCUGGUGAAUGAGAGUUUGAAGAUUCUGCAGCAUGCUGAAGGCAAGUUCUCUGUGUAAACUUCCUAACAAAAUAAUUGGUGUCCAUGUGGCAAGAGCUCACUCAUGUGCCCCUUCCCUUAACAUCAGCUCCCACUGAGGCUGCCUGGCCAAGAGCAGCCCCAGGGGCACAGGGCAGAGGCAGAGCAAGUUCUCCACAGUAUUUGGGCAGCACUGCUCAGGACAGGACAGUGCUUUUUUAGUAGCUCGUGUAAAGAUUCAUGGUAACAGUGGUGUUGCAGGUCAAGCAAAUUUUCUGCAGAUCAGUGUUAAAACAAAUCCAACGGGAGGAAGGUGUGUCUUUGGCCUUGAGACUUUGCUCUUUGUGUGAGCCCUGCUCUGGAUUGAUUCCCAAUCAGUCUUGGAGCCGCUUUUGGGUGAAGGCUCAUCCCAGCCCUGAGCCUUGGCAGUUCUCUGGCCUCAAAGGGAGAGCUGAGGCUGCACUGCACAUGACUGGGGUUCAGGGCUCCAUCAUCAAAGAGCUUUGAGGUGUUUCAAUUACUGUAUUCUUACUAAAUGGUUUUCUUUAUGAAACUUGUUAAUUAGUUUUUAAGACUUAACUGUAAAAAAACUUAUUUUCCAGUGCUUUUUCCAGUUAUUUCAUAUAGUCAGUGAUGGCCUAAGUAUCCCAUGGCUGAAUUAGAAGACUGUAAGUAUUAUAAAAUGAUGUUGACACUCUUAUGUCUUUCACAGACUCUUGAAACUUAUGUUGAUGUGACCAACAGAAGUGUUUCGCUCUGCUUUUAAUUCAGACAAGCAGCGGAGCUGGAACCUGUUGAAGAGAGUCUCUCCACCGCUAAAGCGAACUGCCAGGGUUCUUUUUUUCCAGCUCUAAGCAGGACAAUAAAAAUCUCUCAGCAGUAAAUCCUCCUGACCAGUAACUGAUAUAAACUAGGCAUUUGGGCUGUUUGCUGCCUCACCCCUGAGUUCCUCAGAGCUGCAGCUCCCUGUUCUCUUGGCAGACAGGGGCUGGCUAUGGAUGACAGUCACGUCUCUGGCCUGGUGCACACCAGAUCCACACACGAGCUGAGGGAUCAUCCUUGCACACCCCAUCCUGGAAGAACCCAGGCCAGUGAUGAGUCUGACACAGUUUGAUGCAUGGCAGCAAAAGAAGGCAAAAUAAAGGCUAGAAUAGGUAUCAUCCCAACCACUUUACAUUCAGCUGUGUGUAAUGGAGACAGGGGCUACAAGUUUCCUAUUCAUGCACAAUUUGCUGUCUGAGAGCACUCAGUUCUCAAAGUCACAGGAUCUUGCCGGUCUGUGUCUGAGAUGACUGUAAAAACAUAAACAGACUUUAUGUGCUACACCUGUGUAUCAGAACUUCACAACAGAAAUCACAAACUGAUUCCGCUGUUAAGUAAAUUUAAAAAACCCAAAAACCACAAAACAAAAGCAAAACUGACCAAAUAAAUCAGGCAAACAAAACAAACACCAAGAAAAACCAAAACCAACAGAAAAAUCCCCACAAAUCCAGAAAAAGGUAAAAAUCAGGUGAAGGACGCAGAGAUCCAAGAGCAACAAAUGGGCAGAGCAACUACAAAACUGCAGAAAGGAAAGAUAAUAAGAAAGGAGACAUAAUAAGUGAGUAUGACACCAAACUAGCCAGGAGAUCUGAGAUACUGUUCUCACCCUUCUGGAAACAAUCUGACAUCAAAAUAAACUGAAAAUCAUUGAUGAUGAUUGUGAUAAUGGGAAUCUCCACGUUUAGGUUUCAUAUAUGCAUUGUGUGUGAGUUCUGUUUUCCUGUGAAGUCGCAUCAUCUGGCAAGGGGGCUUUUCUAUCCAAAGAAAAACACUGCAGUGGAAAAGGAGGCCAGCUUGGAAAAGAUUAA